UACGAAGGGGGUUAGCGUUGCUCGGAAUCACUGGGCGUAAAGCGCACGUAGGCGGCUUCUUAAGUCAGGGGUGAAAUCCUGGAGCUCAACUCCAGAACUGCCUUUGAUACUGAGGAGCUUGAGUCCGGGAGAGGUGAGUGGAAUUGCGAGUGUAGAGGUGAAAUUCGUAGAUAUUCGCAAGAACACCAGUGGCGAAGGCGGCUCACUGGCCCGGUACUGACGUUGAGGUGCGAAAGCGUAGGGAGCAAACAGG
rnacentral:rRNA from 1 species